CGAAAGCAAAUCUGUGAAAACAGUUCACCUAACUCAGAGGAGAUUUUAGACAACGAAAGGAAAUAGAUCUGUUGGUUGAAGGAAUUAGUAAAGAAUUUGGCAGUGGUUUUGAGGCCGAGAAAACAAAUUUCUCUGUGGAUUUGAGAGCUGGAUAUGCUGCUGACUGAAAUCAGUAACAAGAAGGGUUGGUUUUGAAUUCGAAUUCGGUUUGUUUAUGGACAGUGGUUGUUUCCGGAUAGAGAUGCAAUGGCUUUAGUAAUCAGCAGCAAGCUUAAAUCUGCGUUACCAGUUUCACGUACAGAUGGUGUUUGAGGAAAUGCUUGAAGGACCAGUUAAACCUGUAGUCGGCUGCAAAUGAUGACACAAAAGUAUCUCAGAAUGGGGAUGAGUUUGGAAGAAAUGUUGCAGCAACUGGCCGCUACUGAACAUUACUAUUGGGAUUACUGCGGAAGAGCUUGAAACUGCACUUAUCGUGACAGUUUGACUUUCCGAUCACCUGAAACUGUUCACCGGCAGCUUCCCUCCUAAAUCUCGGCAAAGAUUUCUACUAUGUUAUUUUCAAAGUGACAAGGCGAGGCGAAGCCGAGCCACACCAAAUUAAAAAUUCUAAAAAAGUAUUGGGACGAGACGAAGCCACACCAAAUCAAAGAUCCUAAGCGACGGGCAAGACGAAGCCGAGUCACACUAAAUCAAAUAUCCUAAA